UGUGUAGGCGGUUGCUUAAGUUUGGUGUGAAAUCUCCCGGCUCAACUGGGAGGGUGCGCCGAAUACUGAGUGACUCGAGUGCGGGAGAGGAGAGUGGAAUUCCUGGUGUAGCGGUGAAAUGCAUAGAUAUCAGGAGGAACACCGGUGGUGUAGACGGCUCUCUGGACCGUAACUGACGCUGAGACACGAAAGCGUGGGUAGCAAACAGGAUUAGAUACCCUGGUAGUCCACGCCCUAAACGAUGCAUAUUUGGUGUGGGCCGUUCAGUCGGUCCGUGCCGGAGCUAACGCGUUAAAUAUGCCGCCUGGGGAGUACAGUCGCAAGGCUGAA
rnacentral:rRNA from 1 species